rnacentral:rRNA from 1 species
UACGGAGGGGGCUAGCGUUGUUCGGAAUUACUGGGCGUAAAGCGCACGUAGCCGGCUUUGUAAGUUAGAGGUGAAAGCCCGGGGCUCAACUCCGGAAUUGCCUUUAAGACUGCAUCGCUAGAAUUGUGGAGAGGUAAGUGGAAUUCCGAGUGUAGAGGUGAAAUUCGUAGAUAUUCGGAAGAACACCAGUGGCGAAGGCGACUUACUGGACACAUAUUGACGCUGAGGUGCGAAAGCGUGGGGAGCAAACAGG